rnacentral:rRNA from 1 species
UUGGAGGGCAAGUCUGGUGCCAGCAGCCGCGGUAAUUCCAGCUCCAAUAGCGUAUAUUAAAGUUGUUGCAGUUAAAAAGCUCGUAGUUGAAUUUCGGGAUUUAUCCGUCGGCCGGGCUUUUGGGUCUGUACUGGCGUGAUGGAUUCCUACCUUCUGAAUAACCGGCAUGUCAUUAAUUUGGUGCGCCGGGGAAGCAGGACUGUUACCUUGAAAAAAUUAGAGUGCUUAAAGCAGGCUUAUGCCUGAAUACAUUAGCAUGGAAUAAUGAAAUAGGACGGCAUGGUUCUAUUUUGUUGGUUUCUAGGAUCACCGUAAUGAUUAAUAGGGAUAGUUGGGGGCAUUAGUAUUUAAUUGUCAGAGGUGAAAUUCUUGGAUUUAUUAAAGACUAACUUCUGCGAAAGCAUUUGCCAAGGAUGUUUUCAUUAAUCAAGAACGAAAGUUAGGGGAUCGAAGACGAUCAGAUACCGUCGUAGUCUUAACCAUAAACUAUGCCGACUAGGGAUCGGACGAUGUUAAUUUUUUAAUGACUCGUUCGGCGCCUUACAGACCUGGA